GUGGGCGUGCACGAAUCGGCCCUCGACACUGAAGGUGACGUCGCUGAAGGCCUGGCCAUUGAUGAGCAAAUUGAGGUAAUCCAAGGGAAGAAGAGGUAGUGCGAUAAAAAGAGAGAAGACACAAGGGCGGCGGCUAGAGAAAGGGCCUCUCCUGACGACCUAAUUCAAUCCUCUCGUGUAUCCUGCUGCUGCUGCUACUUCUGGUCCACGAUGUUCUUCCUAUCUGCACAUUUGUGUGCUUCUGAUGGGGAUGUGAUCUUUUCUUGACGAGAGAAA